rnacentral:rRNA from 1 species
UACAGAGGUCUCAAGCGUUGUCCGGAUUCAUUGGGCGUAAAGGGUGCGUAGGCGGCGCGGUAAGUCGGGUGUGAAAUCUCGGAGCUUAACUCCGAAACUGCAUUCGAUACUGCCGUGCUUGAGGACUGGAGAGGAGACUGGAAUUUACGGUGUAGCGGUGAAAUGCGUAGAUAUCGUAAGGAAGACCAGUGGCGAAGGCGGGUCUCUGGACGAGUUC